rnacentral:rRNA from 1 species
AGUCGAACGAUGAACAGGAGCUUGCUCCUGGGAUUAGUGGCGAACGGGUGAGUAACACGUGAGUAACCUGCCCUUGACUCUGGGAUAAGCGUUGGAAACGACGUCUAAUACCGGAUAUGACCCUCGCCGGCAUCGGCUGGGGGUGGAAAGAAUUUUGGUCAAGGAUGGACUCGCGGCCUAUCAGGUAGUUGGUGAGGUAAUGGCUCACCAAGCCGACGACGGGUAGCCGGCCUGAGAGGGUGACCGGCCACACUGGGACUGAGACACGGCCCAGACUCCUACGGGAGGCAGCAGUGGGGAAUAUUGCACAAUGGGCGAAAGCCUGAUGCAGCAACGCCGCGUGAGGGAUGACGGCCUUCGGGUUGUAAACCUCUUUUAGUAGGGAAGAAGCGAAAGUGACGGUACCUGCAGAAAAAGCACCGGCUAACUACGUGCCAGCAGCCGCGGUAAUACGUAGGGUGCAAGCGUUGUCCGGAAUUAUUGGGCGUAAAGAGCUCGUAGGCGGUUUGUCGCGUCUGCUGUGAAAUCUGGGGGCUCAACCCCCAGCCUGCAGUGGGUACGGGCAGACUAGAGUGCGGUAGGGGAGAUUGGAAUUCCUGGUGUAGCGGUGGAAUGCGCAGAUAUCAGGAGGAACACCGAUGGCGAAGGCAGAUCUCUGGGCCGUAACUGACGCUGAGGAGCGAAAGCAUGGGGAGCGAACAGGAUUAGAUACCCUGGUAGUCCAUGCCGUAAACGUUGGGAACUAGAUGUAGGGGCCAUUCCACGGUUUCUGUGUCGCCGCUAACGCAUUAAGUUCCCCGCCUGGGGAGUACGGCCGCAAGGCUAAAACUCAAAGGAAUUGAC